UACGUAGGGUGCGAGCGUUAAUCGGAAUUACUGGGCGUAAAGCGUGCGCAGGCGGUUUUGUAAGCCAGAUGUGAAAUCCCCGGGCUUAACCUGGGAAUGGCAUUUGGGACUGCAGAUCUGGAGGAUUGGAGGGGGGACUGGAAUUCUUGGUGUAGCAGUGAAAUGCGUAGAUAUCAAGAGGAACACCAGUGGCGAAGGCGAGUCCCUGGACAAUACCUGACACUGAGGCACGAAAGCCAAGGGAGCAAACAGG
rnacentral:rRNA from 1 species